UUUCUCGGGGAGUUUGGCCGCUGAGGUAUCGUUUUCUGAAGCAAUUUAUCAUCAAUUCGUUGAACCUUUCGGGGUUCGGAUUGAUGAUAUUUUGUUGUUGGAUUCUUCUUAAUUGCCUGGCGUCUGAUUCCUCCUGUCUCUUUCUUUUCAGCUCCUCCUCUUCGAUACGGACCAGCGUUGGAAGCGAUUCCUCGGAGAUGGCCGGAUCUGGAUGUUGUUGUUGAUGGCUGCUCCGAUCCUGAUUUCGAGGUUGCAGCGGGCGGAAGUGUUGAAGCAGCUGUUGCAGAUAUCGUGGCAAGCCAAGGAGUUGGCAUGGAACACUUCGUCGAUUGUGUCUAGAUUGCUUUGCACCCGUCGCAGCUGGGAAUCGGAUGUAAGUGCGCCCCAAACCGGAAGACCAUAUUGCCAAAUGGGCAUGAUGAGCUGCUUGAUGACUAUAGCCUUGGUUUCGCUUGGCAGCCGGCUUUUUGGGCCAGCAAGCCAGUCCAGUUUGGCCGCUCUUGAUCGGAGUUUUGUGCAGAUCCUCGUGAUGUGUGAGCUUAGGGUGAUUUGGACAGCUCCAAUGCAUCCACAAUCUGCAUCAGCUCAGGCAGUGUGACUGGUCUGAAGGGAAUCCUGGUUUCCUGGUCCGGUUGUAGCUGCUUCUGCCGUUUUGACUGCUCACGCUCUCUGUUGAUUGCGGCCCGCUCUUCAUCUGAAUUGGACAGUAUCGGGCUGAAUCUCUCCUCCAGGAUUGUGAGCCCCUUGUUAAGACGAUUUUGCGCCGCCCUGUAGUUUCGUCUGGCUUCGAUGGUGCGGGUCGCCAGCCAGAUCCUCUUGCACUGCUGUUUGAUGGAAAGCAGCUCGCUUGUAGCCUCGUCCAGCUUAAGGUGAUGGUGCCGGUGAUGUUGCUGUGACCGCUGCUGAUGUUGAUGCUGACGCUGCUGUGGCCAUCUUCGAUGUGUGCUUGGGUGCUGCUGUUGAUGUUGUGUUGAUGCUGCUGCUGCUGCUACCCGUAUAUUGUUCAAAAACAAGUCAACGACGUCAUCAAUGUCCUGCGCUAUUCUAAUCUCGGUGUUGAGAUUGAUCAACCGUUCCAGCGACUUUUGGAACAGGCUGAUAUUGGCACGUGCUGGGAGCAGAUGUUUCCUGACUGUGGGCGUAGGAUGUCUACGUCCACCGCUGCCGAUCGUCAACUCCACCCUGAGCAGCAAGUGAUCAGAGUCCAAAUCCGAGCUUGAACGGAUACUCAGGGAUAGUGUGUGGCACCACCGGUGGCCAGCAAAUUGCAGCCGUUGUUGGUGUGUACAGCCUCCAUCAGUGCUUUCCCUCUGGCGCAUCCACGGACAUUUCCCCACCACAUAUGCUUCGCGUUCCAGUCACCGCAUACAAGGAAGCCGGAUGCUGUUUCUUCGACGCAGAGUUCUUCAAAAUGUCUUAUCAAUCCAUGAAGACGAUGACAGGUGCACUCUGGAUGAAUGGCUUUGAAAUUGGCUGCAGUGCAGAGUGGGUGACAUCGUCCCGGAACAGGAUGGCUACUCCCCCUCUGCGAUCGUUUGCCGGAUUUUGUGCAGUGAAAACUUCGACCUCGUUCAACUUGUUUGUCACACCACACGCGUUCCAGAAGGCAAUUUUAAAAGAGUUGUGGGUGGAAAUAGUCUGUACUGGAUUGACUUUUUGGUUUGACAGGCUAUUCGGGACUGGACUAAACAUAGAAGGCAUCAUUGGCGGAGGACAGGACCAUGUCCAAAGAGUUUGAAAAUAGACUAUCGAUUUUGGCCUCAAGUCUUGAGAGAAA